GUGCUCAGUGGUGGGCUUGGUGUUAUGCUUGCUUGUCUGUAUGGUUCAGAUUAUUAGCUAAGUCAGUUGCCCCUCCUCUAUCUAUGCAUCAGCUUUGAUGGGAGUCCAUGUCACAAGAAAGUGGAGGGGCCGGCACCUCAAGUCUGGAGCUGGGACAUCGGGCAGUAUUGAGAAUUACAGGACAUUGUCUUCAUUGUAUAUGGUGGAGGGGCUACGGUCUGUGCCAUUACCUGACACUACUUUAGGUAUUGGAACAUGUUCAUACGGGAGCCUCUGUGCUCAAACCAAAUCCUGAUGAUCCCCUGUGAAGACCUGACAAUAUAACUAAAGAGCGGCACCCGCCAUGUGAAGAACUUUCUCUUUAUUAAACUUUCAUGUUUUAUCCAGUGCGAUCUCUGAGGACGUUACGUGGGGACCUGGGGGACGCACCAUAUUCUGAUCGGGAACUCUACAGAUGCCGGAUUCUUCUGCUGUUGUGUUGUAUGAGAUAGAAGUGAAGAGUUAAUGUGUCUGUUCUGUUUUUUGGAGGUGAUCACACGUCGGCCAUGUUUGUCCAGGGUCUCGGAGAACACUCGUUGUACUCUGCCGCCUCCUGGGAAAUGGGUAGAUUUCAGGGAGAUUUAUUAUGUGAUCAGAGCCAACGCCGUCCGAUCAUCCAGAACUAUAAACAUCCGCCUGCGUUACCGUCUCUUCUUCCACCCAGGAGAUAUCACACACAAUCUGUAACCGCCAAUAACCAUCCCCCGCUCUGCGGCGGCCGACCAUCUGAGGGGUCUCAGCACCCGACCCCCCACACAACGUAAUGAGACGUAAGAGGAUAAAUCACCAGAAAAUAAAGGAAUCUAGGACGCUUACACCGCGACCCUGAUCAAUGGGACGUCUCUAUGUACAUCUGCACGAGAGGCCUACGCUGUCCUGGAGAAGACCCCCCCGGCUGUGGCCGUACUGAGGUCCUCGGGGGUGUUCCUGAUCUUUCUAGGGAAGGUUUUGGUCGUGUGUUUCACGCUGUUUGGUGGCCUCAUGGCUUUUAACUAUCGCCGUGAAUUACACGUGUGGGCCAUCCCCCUGCUCCUGGUCGCCUUCUUUGCCUAUCUGGUCGCCCACAGCUUCCUGUCGGUGUUUGAGGCGGUCAUGCGCAGUCUGCUCCUGUGUUACGCCAUAGACGUGGAGACCAAUGACGGCUCCUCUGAGAAACCGUAUCUGAUGGAUGAAGACCUCAUGACAUUAAUAAACCAAAGCAGCUGUGACCGGGAGAUGGUAAAGAAUUGUCGACUGCAGAACGGGGAGGAUGGAACAGAACUGCGGCCAAUAGCGAGAGUGGAGAGCGCCCGCUGCUAGAUGAUCCCCGGCCCAGAACAUGGAGCAUUUUGGGUCACCAAGGGGUUAAUGAUUUUCUACUUCUUCACAUGAGAUGAGAAGAUUUCCUGUUGUAUAGAGAGCGGCGUCCAGCGCACAUUUCACCGCCGGCGCUCUACAAUCCACAUGGGACACAUUUUUUAUAAAGAAUUGUAUUUUGUAAAGUUCCCUUCUAGUCGUAGAGUCCUGCAGGACGGUGAUAUGAUGUAAGUAUGUGACCCCCUGCAGUUAUCGCCUUCGGUGGACGUUGUCCUUAUGAUGUGGCCUCUGUGCAGCCGUUCGGCUCCGUUCACAAUUACAAAUGUAAAAUGAAAUUCCACAUCAGCUGCAAAAUGAAGAUCCGGGACUUGUUUGGGGCCUCCCUGUCUAUGGAAUGGUUUUUGGCAUAUUUUUGGGUCUGUCAGCAUUUACAUAGUAAAAAAGUCCAUCAUGUUCACCCUAUAACCCUAAUGAGUCCCUACUGAUCCAGAAGAGGCAAAACCCCUCAUACUAGAGGUAAAAACUCCUUCCCGACUCCAAAUAUCAGAAUAAAUCCCUGGAUCAGCGUUCUGUCCCUAUAAAUCUAUUAUACAUAACCAGAAUGUUAUUAUUCUCCAAAAAUAUAUCCAGACCCUUUAUAUUCUAUUACAGAGGUCACCAUGACACCUCCUCCGGGAGAGAACCCCACAGUCUCACUGCUCUUACAGUAAAGAACCCCUGUGCUGGUGUAGAAACCUUCUUUCCUCUAGACAUAGAGGAUGCCCCCAUGUUAUAUAUACAGUCCUGAUAUAUUAUAUAUAUUAUUAGGUCCCCUCCUUGUUAUAUAUACAGUCCUGAUAUA